AUAAUUAAAGUUAAUUCUAGCUUUGAUAUUUAUUGUUUAUUUAAUUAAAUUGUAUAUAAAUUUUUGUAUAAAUUAAAUUAAUUUAAAAAAUUAUUGUUUAUAUUAUAAUAUUUAAUAUUAAAAAUUAAAGAAAUUUAGAUUUAGUAAUAUAAAAAUUAUUGAUUAAAUUUGUGCCAGCAAUCGCGGUUAUACUAAUAAUAAAAUAAAUAUUUUUAUUUUAAUUAAUAUAAUUCAUUAAAAUGAAAAUUUAAUUUAUAAGGUAAAAUAUUAAAUUAAAAUUUAUUUUUUUUAUAAAUUUGUAUGAAGUUAAUAAAUAUAUAAAUAAACUAGGAUUAGAUACCCUAUUAUUAAAUUAAAGAUAAAAAAGAUAAGUAGUAUUAGAUAUGUUCUUGAAACUUAAAGAAUAUGGCAGUAUUUUAAUCUGUUUAGAGGAACCUGUUUAUUAAUUGAUAGUCCACAAUUUAUUUUACUUAAUUUUAUUUAAUUUGUAUAUCGUUGUUAUAAAAAUAUUUUUUAGAAAUGAAAAAAUUUUAAUUUUUUAAGAUAAAGUUAUAUCAAAUCAAGAUGCAGUUUAUAAUUAAGAAUUUAAUGGGUUAUAAUAAAUUAAUUUUUAGAUAAUAUGAUGAAAUAUAAUUUUGAAAGUAGAUUUAAAAGUAAUUUAAGUUAAUUAAUUUAAAUGAUGUUAGUUCUAAAAUAUGUACAUAUUGCCCGUCACUUUCAUUUUAAAUUGAAAUAAGUCGUAACAUAGUAGAAGUACUGGAAAGUGUUUCUAGAAAGAU
rnacentral:ncRNA from 1 species